CACGUAGGCGGACUCUUAAGUCGGUGGUGAAAUCCUGGAGCUCAACUCCAGAACUGCCUUCGAUACUGGGAGUCUUGAGUCCGGGAGAGGUGAGUGGAACUGCGAGUGUAGAGGUGAAAUUCGUAGAUAUUCGCAAGAACACCAGUGGCGAAGGCGGCUCACUGGCCCGGUACUGACGCUGAGGUGCGAAAGCGUGGGGAAGCAAACA
rnacentral:rRNA from 1 species